GAUGAACGCUGGCGGCGUGCCUAAUCCAUGCAAGUCGAGCGAACGGACGAGAAGCUUGCUUCUCUGAUGUUAGCGGCGGACGGGUGAGUAACACGUGGAUAACCUACCUAUAAGACUGGGAUAACUUCGGGAAACCGGAGCUAAUACCGGAUAAUAUUUUGAACCGCAUGGUUCAAAAGUGAAAGACGGUCUUGCUGUCACUUAUAGAUGGAUCCGCGCUGCAUUAGCUAGUUGGUAAGGUAACGGCUUACCAAGGCAACGAUGCAUAGCCGACCUGAGAGGGUGAUCGGCUACACUGGAACGUAGACACGGUCCAGACUCCUACGGGAGGCAGCAGUAGGGAAUCUUCCGCAAUGGGCGAAAGCCUGACGGAGCAACGCCGCGUGAGUGAUGAAGGUCUUCGGAUCGUAAAACUCUGUUAUUAGGGAAGAACAUAUGUGUAAGUAACUGUGCACAUCUUGACGGUACCUAAUCAGAAAGCCACGGCUAACUACGUG
rnacentral:rRNA from 1 species